CUGGCUACUAGCUGGGAAGAAUCUCUUCUGGAGAUCUCCUCCUCUGGAAUUUCAUAGCGAGCCCUGGACACGGCCCUGGCUACAUCUCAGCAGAGAAGAAAGAAUAUCUCCCCAAAGAGCCUUGGGGGACCCUGCACUGGAGCACCAGAGAACUGAAUUCCCCAAGGUAACAAGGCAAACUUCAAGGCUACACGGAAGACUGCUCAGCAACCCUCCACCACCAGACAGCUUUAAGUCUGCAAUGUCUGGGACAUGAUACAGAGACAUACAGCUAAUGGCUUGCUGCAGCUACCAACACAGAGAAAAUGUAGCUCCCAUUUAUCUUCUGCUUAACAAUAUUUGCCUGGGAAGGUUACACCUAACACAAAUUGGGUUUGCAUGACGUAUGGU